AACGCUAGCUACAGGCUUAACACAUGCAAGUCGAGGGGCAGCAUGUUGGUUGCUUGCAACCAAUGAUGGCGACCGGCGCACGGGUGAGUAACGCGUAUCCAACCUUCCCCUUACUCGGGUCCAGCCCGUUGAAAGACGGAUUAAUCCCCGAUGCUCUCAUAUACUGGCAUCAGUUUAUGAGCAAAGAUUUAUCGGUAAGGGAUGGGGAUGCGUAUGAUUAGCUUGUUGGUGUGGUAACGGCUCACCAAGGCUACGAUCAUUAGGGGUUCUGAGAGGAAGGUCCCCCACACUGGAACUGAGACACGGUCCAGACUCCUACGGGAGGCAGCAGUGAGGAAUAUUGGUCAAUGGAGGCAACUCUGAACCAGCCAAGUAGCGUGCAGGAUGACGGCCCUAUGGGUUGUAAACUGCUUUUAUGCGGGGAUAAACGAGCCUACGUGUAGGUUUUUGCAGGUACCGCAUGAAUAAGGACCGGCUAAUUCCGUGCCAGCAGUCGCGGUAAUACGGAAGGUCCGGGCGUUAUCCGGAUUUAUUGGGUUUAAAGGGAGCGUAGGCGGCCUGUUAAGCGUGUUGUGAAAUGUGGGUGCUCAACAUCUGCACUGCAGCGCGAACUGGCGGGCUUGAGUGGGCUGAAAGUAUGCGGAAUUCGUGGUGUAGCGGUGAAAUGCUUAGAUAUCACGAAGAACUCCGAUUG
rnacentral:rRNA from 1 species